rnacentral:rRNA from 1 species
AUACGGAGGGUGCAAGCGUUAUUCGGAAUCACUGGGCGUAAAGGACGCGUAGGCGGGUUGGCAAGUCAGAUGUGAAAUCCUACAGCUUAACUGUAGAACUGCAUUUGAAACUGCUAACCUAGAGUAUGAGAGGGGGAGAUGGAAUUAGUGGUGUAGGGGUAAAAUCCGUAGAUAUCACUAGGAAUACCGAAAGCGAAGGCGAUCUCCUGGAACAUAACUGACGCUAAGGCGUGAAAGCGUGGGGAGCAAACAGCAUUAGAAACCCUUGUAGUCC